CUGUCCUGGCAUAAAACUCUUAGAAAAACAACAACAGAAGGGGUAUAGAGGGUGUGAUAAACAGAUCAGUGGGAGGACAUUCGGACGCAGAGCAGCAGAAAUUAAAGCCAGCUUGACAGUCCAUUUUUAACUCAGUUCAGGCAGCUGCACUGCCUGAAGGUCAGGCGAGCCAAGGAAGGAGAUGCUGAUAGACUGGUCUUUGAAGGCCAGUUUCCACUUCUACUUCAAUAAACAGAAAAGUGGAAAAUAAACAAGCCCAUUUAAGCCAAUUAAAAAGCGGUUUCAGUGGCUAGGGUGUUCAGGACCAAUGGAUGGGCCCAUGGUCAGGAGUUGGAUGCCAGCCGCCUGACAGUCAGUCCCUGGGCAGGCCACAGAGCCUCUUGUCCUUGUCUGGGCAGCAUUACUAAUGAGGCUGCCACUUAACCUGCCUCCAAGGAGGAUUUUUAGAAUUAAUAUAAUGAGUGGUCUGAACCAAUACUAGCGAAAUAAAGAAAUUACUCGUUUCAAUUUCCUUAGGGUAUUUAGGCAUAAUUCAUAGAGUAAAUGCCCCCAUAGGGCCAGAAAGAUUAUUGGAACUUACAGAAAGUAGUAGUUGCUCUUGGCCCACCUGACUAAAUGAAAUUUUGCAAAGCCCUUUGGGAUUUGACUUCAGAAAACAAUUUACUUAUGUACAAAAGACUUCAAAUAAUAUCUUCUUGGCUGAAUGGGCCUUGCUCUCAGGACAUACAGGGCAUAAGGAAUGAUUGAGGUAAAACACAUACCUGGAAUAAUUAAGAAUGUCCUUUUUUAUCUACUUAAAAGCGUAGAAAAUCCAUUCUAUCACCAGUUUGCAUCUUCACAAGGUUAAACAGAACUGAUUUUUUAAAAAUUUGAAGCAUAGAGAAGAAUUAGGAAAAACUAAGUGCCAUUAUAGGCUAAGUGCAAGGUGACACAGUCUAUCAGAUUUCAGAAAAAUGUGGAUACAGUCAAUUAUUUAUAACUGAAAGUUCGCAUUGGGGAACUUCAGGUGUUUAUUAAGUGCAGUGAUAAAGAAGUUUGUUUUAUUGCUCUUUCAUUAUAUCCUCUAACUAAUACUAUAUAAACAGUUUGUGGGAGUGCUUACUGGAAAUAGUUGUGUAUGAAUAGAAAAUCUAGUCAGUUAAAUAAUUUGAUUUCCUUUCAUACACCAAUGUAUUAUAAGAAACUAUCUAAAUCAUAGGCAAAGGCUUUAACUUAAGCAUGCUUGCUUUUUUAUUACUAUAAUUCACUAAUCCAUCUUCUUACAGAAAGAAAAUGAGAUAGCAGUAACAACUGGCAACCAUAUGUUCAUCUGAUGUAUUUGCAAAUAUUUAAGUUCUAGGCUUCCUCAGGUAUAAAUAUAGUAUUCAUAAUGUCAUUGCUUAUGUAAAGUAUAAAUUCACAAUGCCAGGGAUACUGAAAAAACAAAAAGCAAAAAUGAUGCUUUCAUGUAUUAUUACAGGAAAUGUUGGUGUCUUUUGCAUUUGUGAUUUGGAGUGUUGAAUGUUCAUUACGUGUUUCACUAGCCAAUUUUCUGUCUUUAUUUGGUAUGAACACUUAUUUUUGAAUCUUAUUAAUACAUUUACGUUCCACACAUAGCUUAUUUUAUUUCAUAAACUAUGACACCUGAGGGAAAGUUACUGAGUUUCUUAAUCUGUGCAAUUCAGGGAAAACUUACAGGACAUGGAAAUUGAUCUAUACAUUAGCAGUAAGCUCAUGGGGUUAUUGUAAGGAUUAAAAGAGAAACCCUUAAAAUCAAUGCUAAAUAUUAUCUCUUUUUUAUAAACAAAUAUGAGAUCUUUAAAUGCACACUGCCUCUAGAUUCCCUUAGUUGUGCUAAGUUUGUAAAUUUGGUGUCUCAUGCAAAGUGCUUAGAACCAAACUAAUACUGAUAUUAGGCAAGAACUUAAUGAGUGAUAUUAUUAUUAUUGCUGUUAUUAUGUUCUGAAAUUGUAGUUAUCUGGGUCAGUGCAACAAGCAAGUGGCUAAAUGGAGUUGGGGAAGUGUUGUUAAAGUAUAAGAAAAUUUAUGAUCUUUCCUGUUUGCAGGAAAUCUGGAAAGUAUUGGCACUGAUUAGGAAAGCCUUUUUUAUUAUAAUACAUCCAUCACUGUAUGGGAAAGCAGGAAAGGAUCUGCCAAUGAAACACAGAGUUUUAUAUGUUAACUUUCCUCUAUUAAUCUAGGAAAUAGUUUUCUGGAAAUAAAUAACAUCUACAGACAAUUGAAACUAUUGACUAUAGAAUGACGCAGUUGUUUCAAGGUAUGUGUGAUCAUCUGUUAACAUACUCGGUGAGAUAUUUAAUCAUAAUUUUUAUUUGCCUUUGAGGGUGCAUCACCCAAUACAAUUUCCAUUUAAUUAUUAAAUAUUCAAUAUGACUUAUUCUGUUAAGUAAGGUAACAUGGAAACUUAUCUCGUAUAAGACAAAAAGCAGGCCCAAUACAUAAAAUAAUACAUAAUGCUUGCUAUUAAAAGCUGAGAGAAUCUUCCAAUAACACAAGGGUUUGCCUCUCUUUUUAAGCAGAGAAAUGGUUACCAUAGCAACUUGUCUCUUAAUAUAGUUAUAUGAUUUUGUUCUCUUCAUAAACAAUGCUGUGUAUUAUCAGUCUUUAAAUAGAGAUAAUAUGUUUAAAUGCAUACAAUAUCUGCUUUUCCUUAAUUAUGGAAAAAUGUAUAAUUCAGGUGACCAUAUCAGAGGAUGUCAGCCAGGAACAUGGAGUGGGUCCUUGACAUUUGUCUAGCGAUACAUCUUAAAACUUUUACAAGUUCCAAAUUUGAGAAUACCACUAUGCCAUACCAUUUUUUCUGGAAUUUUAAUGUGCACCAGGAGAUGAGGAAAAUAAAGCUACAUGCUCAUGUCAAUGUUGGGUUCCUUACUGGUUUCCCUUCCUGUAUCAACCAAGUGUCCUAUUUUGGUGGGCCAGCCUUGCACAGCUUUUGUCAUUGACAUUUGUAUCCUAGCAAAAUUACACAUUACUUCAUGACAUAAACCUGUGGGGUUGCUUAAGAAGAGAAUUAAAUCUGAGAAUGCCUGAGUGUCGACUAGAUAUGGAAUUCUGCAGGGUACUUUUUAGAAUGGGAUCUGAUCUCCAUUCUGCAGAUUUAAAGCACAUUAAGGUUAAGAAAUUUGACUAGUCCAGAAUGAUUCAGUUUUUUCAUCUUCAUGGUGUAGUAGUUAGUGCAUGAACUGUGCAGCCUAACUCCUAGCAGUGACAUUUACUAGCUGUGUAACUUGGAUUAGGUACUUAACAUUUCUGUGCCUCUAUUUUCACCUUUAAAAUGGGAAUUACGGAGAAGGAAGUGAGAGGGAGAGAUGUGUUAAAGCAGCAGUCCCCAACCUUUUUGGCACCAGGGACUUGUUUGUGGAAGAGAAUUUUUCCUCAGUUGAGGAUGCAGAUGUUUUGGGGAUGAAACUGUUCCACUUCAGAUCAACAGGCAUUAGUUACAUUCUCAUGAGGAAUGGGUAACCUAGAUCCCUCACAGGCAGUUCACAAAGGGUUCAUGCUCCUAUGAGAAUCUAAUGUUGCAGCUGAGGCAGAACUCAGGUGGGAAUGCAGGCAAUGGGUAGCAGCUGUAAAUACAGAUGAAGCUUUGUUCCUUGCCCACCCACUGCUCCCUUCCUGCUUUGCACCCAGUUUCUAACAGGCCAUGGACUGGUACUGGUCUGUCCGGAAUUGGUGGGUUCUUGGUCUCCCUGACUUCAAGAAUGAAGCCGCGGACCCUCGCAGUGAGUGUUACAGCUCUUAAGGUGGUGUGUCUGGAGUUUGUUCCUUCUGAUGUUCGGAUGUCGGAGUUUCUUCCUUCUGGUGGGUUCGUGGUCUCGCUGGCUCAGGAAUGAAGCAGCAGACCUUCGAAGUGAGUGUUACAGCUCUUAAGGUGGCGUGUCUGGAGUUUGUUCCUUCUGAUGUUCGGAUGUCGGAGUUUCUUCCUUCUGGUGGGUUCGUGGUCUCGCUGGCUCAGGAAUGAAGCCGCAGACCUUCGAAGUGAGUGUUACAGCUCUUAAGGUGGCGUGUCUGGUGUUUGUUCCUUCUGAUGUUCGGAUAUGUUCGGAGUUUCUUCCUUCUGGUGUGUUCGUGGUCUCGCUGGCUCAGGAAUGAAGCCGCGGACCUUUGCGGUGAAUGUUACAGCUCUUAAGGCGGCGCGCCUGGAGUUGUUAAUUCCUCCCGGUGGGCUCCUGGUCUUGCUGGCUUCAGGAGUGAAGCUGCAGACUUUCGCGGUGAGUGUUACAGCUCAUAAAAGCAGUGGACCCAAAGAGUGAGCAGCAGCAAGAGUUAUUGCAAAGAGUAAAAGAACAACGCUUCCACAGUGUGGAAGGUGACCCGAGCGGGUUACCACUGCUGGCUGGGGCAGCCUGCUUUUAUUCUCUUAUCUGGCCCCACCCACAUCCUGCUGAUUGGUAGAGUCUAGUGGUCUGUUUUGACAGGGUGCUGAUUGGUGCGUUUACAAUCCCUGAGCUAGACACAAAGGUUCUCCACCUCCCCACCAGAUUAGCUAGACACAGAGUGUCCACACAAAGGUUCUCCAAGGCCCCACCAGAAUAGCUAGAUACAGAGUGUCAAUUGGUGUAUUCACAAACCCUGAGCUAGACACAGGGUGCUGAUUGGUGUAUUUACAAACCUUGAGCUAGAUACAGAGUGCCCAUUGGUGUAUUUACAAUCCCUGAGCUAGACAUAAAGGUUCUCCAUGUCCCCAUCAGAUUCAGGAGGCCAGCUGGCUUCACCCAGUGGAUCCCGAACCAGGGCUGCAGGUGGAGCUGCCUGCCAGUCCCGCACCGUGCGCCCACACUCCUCAGCCCUUGGGUGGUCGAUAGGACUGGGCGCCGUGGAGCAGGGGGCGGCGCUCAUCGGCGAGGCUCGGGCUGCACAGGAGCCCAUGGAGGGGGUGGGAGGCAGAGGCAUGGCCGGCUGCAGGUCCUGAGCCCUGCUCCGCGGGAAGGCAGCUAAGGCCUGGUGAGAAAUCGAGUGCAGUGCCGGUGGGCUGGCACUGCUGGGGGACCCAGUACACCCUCUGCAGCCGCUGGCCCGGGUGCUAAGCCCCUCAUUGCCCGGAGCCGGCAGGGCCGGCCGGCUGCUCCUAGUGCCGGGCCGGCCAAGCCCACGCCCACCCGGAACUCCAGCUGGCCCCCAAGCGCAGUGCGCAGUCCCGGUUCCCGCUCGCGCCUCUCCCUCCACACCUCCCUGCAAGCUGAGGGAGCUGGCUCGGGCCUUGGCCAGCCCAGAAAAGGGCUCCC
rnacentral:lncRNA from 10 species